GCCGGCUGAAUGGAUUCGAAAACGGUAAAACUCAACUGUUUAACUCUAGGGGAGUUGGAAAAUGAGUCUAUUUUCAAAAAUAGUGGAGUGUUCCUUUAAGCUAAAGGUCAUGUUAUUGACAGUGAAGUGUUAUGCUUACACAGGCCUUCCGCCUGAAAUCCUGGCGCUAUGGAAACAGGCUGCGGUCCUGAGGCCCAUCCCACCGUCCCGGCAGCGCAGGGAGGUUCCUGUAGCUGAGGAAAUACCAGAGAGAGAGCAGGAGAGACCAGAACCAGGACAGAGAGAGGAGGAGAGAGAGCUUAGCUCAAAAGAGAUUCCCAGAGAAAUGUUGGAGUCUGGCCUCUUCCAGCAAGAAACGCCGGGUAAAAACAUUAGCACAUACUGUAUUUGUAGAAUAACUUUUUUUGAUAGUUGUUGUGGUGUGUUUUGAAGGAAGGGAAAGCAAGAGAAUAAUAGUUUAGCUGCUACAUUUACAUACUGAAUGUUCAUGUUUCAAUGAAUUGGCAGCCUCUCUGGUGGUUUUGGAGACGACAGACAAGGAUUUCUCUCCACUGGAGACUCCUGAAAUGAGACGGUGAGAGGAGAGAUGCUAAAAGAGAGACAGAAAUAGCUGUCGCU
rnacentral:lncRNA from 1 species